rnacentral:rRNA from 1 species
UGGGAAUCUGCCCUUUGGUUCGGAAUAACCCUGGGAAACUAGGGCUAACACCGGAUAAGCCCCCGUGAGGGGGAAAGUUUACGCCGAAGGAGGAGCCCGCGUCCGAUUAGCUAGUUGGUGAGGUAAGAGCUCACCAAGGCUUCGAUCGGUGGCUGGUCUGAGAGGACGAUCAGCCACACUGGGACUGAGACACGGCCCAGACUCCUACGGGAGGCAG